CCUGGGGAGUACGGCCGCAAGGUUAAAACUCAAAUGAAUUGACGGGGGCCCGCACAAGCGGUGGAGCAUGUGGUUUAAUUCGAUGCAACGCGAAGAACCUUACCUGGUCUUGACAUCCACAGAACUUUCCAGAGAUGGAUUGGUGCCUUCGGGAACUGUGAGACAGGUGCUGCAUGGCUGUCGUCAGCUCGUGUUGUGAAAUGUUGGGUUAAGUCCCGCAACGAGCGCAACCCUUAUCCUUUGUUGCCAGCGGUUAGGCCGGGAACUCAAAGGAGACUGCCAGUGAUAAACUGGAGGAAGGUGGGGAUGACGUCAAGUCAUCAUGGCCCUUACGACCAGGGCUACACACGUGCUACAAUGGCAUAUACAAAGAGAAGCGACCU
rnacentral:rRNA from 1 species